AAUAAAAAAGAUUUAAAAUAAAAAAGAUUUAAAAUUUGAAAAGUUUUAAAAAAUCAAAAAAAGUUUUAGAAAAUUUUUAGAAAGCUUGAAAUAAAAAUUCAAAGCUCAAAUGCUUGAUAAAGAAUUCAAUUUCAAAGGUUUUCAUCAGCUUUAAUCAUCAAAGCAAAAAUUGAUUGUUUAAAAAAGCUUUUAUGACAAAGAAUUAAAUCAAGCAGUUUAAGUUGUGUGCAAGUGGUAGGAGAGCGUUCUAUUAGCGUUGAAGGUAUACCGGUAAGGAGUGCUGGAGCGAAUAGAAGUGAGCAUGCAGGCAUGAGUAGCGAUAAUUAAUGUGAGAAUCAUUAACGCCGAAAACCCAAGGUUUCCUACGCGAUGCUCGUCAUCGUAGGGUUAGUCGGGUCCUAAGCCAAGUCCGAAAGGGGUAGGCGAUGGCAAAUUGGUUAAUAUUCCAAUACCAACAUUAGUGUGCGAUGGAAGGACGCUUAGAGCUAGGAGGGCUAGCGGAUGGAAGUGCUAGUCUAAGGAUGUGAGUGCUUAUACAGGCAAAUCCGUAUAAGAAUACACUGAGGUCUUAAAGGCUCUUCAAAGUCUUCGGAUAGCGAGGAGAACCUCUGAUGCUGUCGAGCCAAGAAAAGUUUCUAAGUUUAGCUAAUGUUGCCCGUACCAUAAACCGACACAGGUGGGUGGGAUGAGUAUUCUAAGGCGCGUGGAAGAACUCUCUUUAAGGAACUCUGCAAAAUAGCACCGUAUCUUCGGUAUAAGGUGUGGUUCGCUUCGUAUUAGAAUUCACUUCGAAAGCGAAGAAACUUACAACAAAGAGUCCCUCCCGACUGUUUACCAAAAACACAGCACUCUGCUAACUCGUAAGAGGAUGUAUAGGGUGUGACGCCUGCCCGGUGCUCGAAGGUUAAUUGAUGGGGUUAGCAUCAGCGAAGCUCUUGAUCGAAGCCCGAGUAAACGGCGGCCGUAACUAUAACGGUCCUAAGGUAGCGAAAUUCCUUGUCGGUUAAAUACCGACCUGCAUGAAUGGCGUAACGAGAUGGGAGCUGUCUCAAAGAGGGAUCCAGUGAAAUUGUAGUGGAGGUGAAAAUUCCUCCUACCCGCGGCAAGACGGAAAGACCCCGUGGACCUUUACUAUAGCUUGACACUGCUGCUUGGAUAAGAAUGUGCAGGAUAGGUGGGAGGCUUUGAAUAUAUGACGCUAGUUGUAUAGGAGCCAUUGUUGAGAUACCACUCUUUCUUAUUUGGGUAGCUAACCAGCUUGAGUUAUCCUCAAGUGGGACAAUGUCUGGUGGGUAGUUUGACUGGGGCGGUCGCCUCCCAAAUAAUAACGGAGGCUUACAAAGGUUGGCUCAGAACGGUUGGAAAUCGUUCACAGAGUAUAAAGGCAAAAGCCAGCUUAACUGCAAGAGACACAACUCGAGCAGGGACGAAAGUCGGUCUUAGUGAUCCGGUGAUUCUGUGUGGAAGGGUCAUCGCUCAAAGGAUAAAAGGUACCCCGGGGAUAACAGGCUGAUCUCCCCCAAGAGCUCACAUCGACGGGGAGGUUUGGCACCUCGAUGUCGGCUCAUCGCAUCCUGGGGCUGGAGCAGGUCCCAAGGGUAUGGCUGUUCGCCAUUUAAAGCGGUACGCGAGCUGGGUUCAGAACGUCGUGAGACAGUUCGGUCCCUAUCUGCCGUGGGCGUAAGAAGAUUGAAGAGCUUUGACCCUAGUACGAGAGGACCGGGUUGAACAAACCACUGGUGUAGCUGUUGUCCUGCCAAGGGCAUCGCAGCGUAGCUAAGUUUGGAAAGGAUAAACGCUGAAAGCAUCUAAGCGUGAAGCCAACUCUAAGAUGAAUCUUCUCUAAGUUCUGUGCAAGACUAGCACUUUGAUAGGCUGGGUGUGUAAGAGAUGAAAGUCUUUGAGCUGACCAGUACUAAUAGAACGUUUGGCUUAUCUUA
rnacentral:rRNA from 1 species